CUUCGACCGUGGGACACGCACAUUUCAAAAAAUUUAAAAUGCUUUAGGUAAGUACCAAACGAACCCCACAGAUAUAGCUAAAGUCUUCACAGAAUACUUCACUAAACUCUACAAUCACUCUAGCGGUGAUGCUUCAGAUCCGCAACGCGAACUAUAUAGGAUACGUCCAUUUCUCUCCCAGUUAGCUCUCCCUAAACUUCUCGGGGCGGACUCUAAUGUCUUGACAAAACGGAUCUCGGCCAAAGAAAUAGAUGUGGCAAUUUCCACUUUAAAAAGUAACAAAGCACCGGGUACAGAUUGCUUUGACGAAAGCUAUUAUAAGAUUUUUCGAGACAAACUUGUGCCUCACCUGGAAUCUUGGUUCGACGAUCUCAUGGAAGAGGGGACACCAGAUAGAGAAAUGUCACUAGCAGACAUUGUUCUAUUGCUAAAACCCGGUCGAGAUGACUCAACCCCUGAAAACUUCAGUUUUUAAUAAACCACGAUUCCAAAAUUUUUGUGAAAAUCCUGGCGGGUAGAUUAAACCCGAUUCUUGCACAAUUGGUCCACCCAGACCAAGUGGGGUUUGUGACGGAUAGGCAACUGUUCGAACACGAUACAGAUCUUAUCGAUAUAGAUCUUAGCUGGAGACAGGCCACCAGGGGCACACCGACUUUGAUACGGUCACUGGAUACAGAGAAGGCAUUCGACAGAGUCAAAUGACUUUAUAUAUUCAAAGUCCUAGAACACUUUUGCAUACCGGCCCAGUUUAUAACCGCACAAAUUCGGAUUUCGGGAGCGAAGGUUACCCCAUUCUACCUGAGUAACGGCAUAAGGCAGGGAUACGCUCUUUUGCCUCUACUGUUCGAUCUCUCUUUGGAGACCCUCUUACAAACGAUACGCGCGGCCCCAGAUAUUAAGGGUAUUGCAGUGGGAGGACAGCAAUACGUAAUAUCAGGUUUUGCUGAUAUCCUGCUGACAUUAACGGACCCAAAGAAAUCUAUGGCAGCACUGAGACAUUUUGACAAACUAUAGCGAUUUAGCGAGGGACCACAUUAUAUAUUUAGGCAUACGACUGAACCCUCAAUUAUUUCAACAAAACUAUGUUCCAUUGAUUCGAAUCUUAAUGAAUGACUUUGAGAAGUGGGCGGAUAAGCCGAUUUCCUGGAUAGGAAGAAUCCACUCAGUGAAAAUGAAGGGGCUUCCUAGGAUAUUGUUUCUUUUCCAAGCCCUACCGGUCCGAUUGACUAAAUCUAAUUUGGGGGCACUCCAACAGGCUAUCAGCAAAUUCAUUUGGAAGAACAAGAAACAUAAGAUUUCACGCAAUGUCCUUUACAGGGCAAAAAACAGAGGGGGCUUGGGUCUUCAAAUCUUUAUUUUUUUUAUCAUGAGGCGGCUCAACUAGCCUAAAUAGCGCUAUGGCACUCUCCCCUGGAAGAGAGAAGGUGGGU